rnacentral:rRNA from 1 species
AACGAACGCUGGCGGCGUGUUUAAGACAUGCAAGUCGCACGGGACUAUUUGAGUAGCAAUACAAGAAUAGUCUAGUGGCGCACGGGUGAGUAACACGUGAAUUACAUGCCCUGCAGAGGGGGAUAGCCCAGGGAAACUUGGAUUAAUACCCCAUGGUAUCGCGAGAUUAAAGGUGGCCGCAAGGCUGUCGCUGCAGGAUUGGUUCGCGCCCUAUCAGCUUGUUGGUGAGGUAACGGCUCACCAAGGCUACGACGGGUACCUGGUCUGAGAGGACGAUCAGGCACACUGGAACGAAGACACGGUCCAGACACCUACGGGUGGCAGCAGUCGAGAAUAAUUCACAAUGGGGGCAACCCUGAUGGUGCAACGCCGCGUGGAGGAUGAAGGUCUUCGAUUGUAAACUCCUGUCAUCCGGGAGUAAGACCUGGCGAUGAAUAGUCGACAGGGUUGAUAGUACCGGAAGAGGAAGGGACGGCUAACUUCGUGCCAGCCGCCGCGGUAA